UACGUAGGGUGCAAGCGUUGUCCGGAAUUAUUGGGCGUAAAGAGCUCGUAGGCGGCUUGUCGCGUCGGCUGUGAAAACCUGGGGCUCAACUCUGGGCGUGCGGUCGAUACGGGCAUCACUUGAGUUCGGCAGGGGAGACUGGAAUUCCUGGUGUAGCGGUGAAAUGCGCAGAUAUCAGGAGGAACACCGGUGGCGAAGGCGGGUCUCUGGGCCGAUACUGACGCUGAGGAGCGAAAGCGUGGGGAGCGAACAGG
rnacentral:rRNA from 1 species